UACAGAGGGGGCAAGCGUUGUUCGGAAUUACUGGGCGUAAAGGGCGCGUAGGCGGCCUUCUAAGUCGAACGUGAAAUCCCCGGGCUCAACCCGGGAACUGCGUCCGAGACUGAAAGGCUUGAAUCCGGGAGAGGGAUGUGGAAUUCCAGGUGUAGCGGUGAAAUGCGUAGAUAUCUGGAGGAACAUCGGUGGCGAAGGCGGCAUCCUGGACCGGUAUUGACGCUGAGGCGCGAAAGCCAGGGGAGCAAAGCGGG
rnacentral:rRNA from 1 species